GAAAAAAGAAAAUCCAAUCUAAAGAAGCCUGAGCAAACAGCUUUAGGAGUCCCAUUUCUAUCACAUUGUUUUGGAGGGUUUAGACAACAGUGUUGUCAUCUUAUGCACACAGCAUUUUGUGUAACAACAUUUUGUUUGCUGCCGCGGCUUUGUCAUUCUUUUUAGUUGUUAAAAGUAGACAGUUUGUGCGUGGGUGACUUAAGAGGCGUCAAUUUUGACACACGCCCUACCUGGUGGGAGGAACUUUUAACGAAGUUGCAGAGUUUUAUUUUUAAUUUUCGUUCUACAUUUUUUUAAAAAACCAAACGAUACUUUGUCAGCUUAUCUAAACCUAUUGGAAUCUAUUGAUUGUUUUUAACCUCAAACUCAGACGAUCACUGUUUCGCAGACGAUGAUUCAAGAAAACGAGAUAAAUUAAGAUAAAUGGGACAAAAUAGCUUCGAAAUGAAUAACACAAGCUAGAAGAGGUGGUGUUUAAAUGGCCUAUUUAGAAUCGAUCAUUAAUUACAGUUUCCGAUUGAGAUGAUGUCGUUAUAAAUAAAUCGAAUCAAGAUAAAAAGAAGAGAAACAUUCGAAGUUAAAGAAUGAAAAAAAAUACCACCUUUGAUCUGAACUUCAAGAUUGAUAACAUACGUUCUGCGAAGCGGUUACAGGUGUUAACAAAGACAAUCAAUUUAUCAUUGUUUUUAAAUGCCCAAGAGCUGCAGAAAGCUAACAUGGUAUGACAUUGAAAUUACGGACUGAAAUGAAAAGUCGUCUGCAGUAGAAUCUCAUUUGUAGACUCAGCCACUUUCAGACAUCACCCUGCGAGGCGCCAAGUCGAGCGGAAAACUCGGGAACACCCAUAUUAAAACAUCGGCUUAUUUGGCGAACGGAGGUUAUAAAAUUCAUUAAUGUUUGUUAUCACUAAUCAAGGCCUUUGUACAUGAAAUAAAAAAAAGAACAAAU